UUGAAAAUGUUUAUGUCAUGUUUUAUAUGUACAUAGAUAUUUUCUUUCAUCUUUUGAAAUUCAUUGUGGAAAUGCUUAAUGAUACUGUUUAUGUCAAGUUCUGAGAGAAAGACUGAUGUUAUGAAAAAGAUUAAGUUUCCACAAAUGGAGUAGAAAUCUGCUAGUAAAACUGUUCAAUGACAAGCAAAGAGGUAGCACUACCUUGUCCCAUAAAAGAAAUUUUGGAAAAGGAAAAGACGAUAUUGAAGGUGUAGUGGAGGAUUCAAUCUCUUCAAGCUGGAAAAGCCAAGGCUUAGCACUUUUUCAAGUAGAGUGUUAUUUAAUGUUGUAUUCCAUGGUCGUUUAUCUUAGUCGGAACUUGAAUUAGGUGUUAUUGAAACAGGGUUUUGUAGCUACCUUGUGUACUAGCUUAUUUAAUUAUGAUUGUUAAUUA